AACACGUAGGUAACCUGCCCCUUAGACUGGGAUAACUCCGGGAAACCGGAGCUAAUACGGGAUAAUAAAGAGAAUCACCUGAUUCUCUUUUGAAAGACGGUUUCGGCUGUCACUAAGGGAUGGGCCUGCGGCGCAUUAGCUAGUUGGUAAGGUAACGGCUUACCAAGGCGACGAUGCGUAGCCGACCUGAGAGGGUGAUCGGCCACACUGGGACUGAGACACGGCCCAGACUCCUACGGGAGGCAGCAGUAGGGAAUCUUCCGCAAUGGACGAAAGUCUGACGGAGCAACGCCGCGUGAGUGAGGAAGGCCUUCGGGUCGUAAAGCUCUGUUGUGAGGGAAGAACAAGUACCGGCGUAACUACCGGUACCUUGACGGUACCUCACCAGAAAGCCACGGAUAACUACGUGCCAGCAG
rnacentral:rRNA from 2 species